GGGAGACCUUUCCAGGAAAAGAAAGAGAUGCUGUUAGGACUGAAACUGCUGCAUAGUUGAGUUAAACUGUUCCCAAAGUAUUUUCAGCCCAAACGGAAGCAGGAUAUCCCAGUAAUCAUAAGGAAAACUUUGUUCUAACCCAGGCACAAAGUUGAGAUGCUUUUUCAGUUGUGCAUCUAAACACCUACUGUUAUUUCUAAGUGGAUUUUCCAGGAUUAUUUACCACUGGCAGUUGAGAUAACUGGAGGCAUGAGACUGUUGCAUUUGCUUUGAAUUUAUUUUAAAUAUUAAGAUGACAGAUUCUGUGAACCAAAGUUCAAGCAUUUGUACUCUUGCAAAUGAGUUUUGUGCUGUGGACUGUAUCUAAAUGUACAAGAAAUUUUUUGUCUGGAUACAUCUGUUUGUCAUUGUGGAAAGCAUAAUCCUAAAGGACCUUAUUUCCUACCCCUCAGAUUGCCUAAAUCGAAAUACAGUAAAGAGGAAAGAACUAUUGUAAAUACUUGGAAGAUCUCCCAUCGCCUCCUUCCGACAAUGAACGGCUGUCUGGUUUUGUGCCCUGAUUUCACCUGCAUGAGCCUUGGCAGAAGGAUGAAAGGAGAGAGCCAUGCAAUUUUACCUCCAUUAGGAUCUCUAUUUUUUCCCCUGAGGUGAACCCAUUCUUGGGAGCUUUCAUCAGCCAAACUGUUCAUCUGAAAGAGAAGAAGGACCCUUUUUCUUUUUGGUUGCAAGGCCUUGUAUGAUCCAAGUUUCUCCUGGUAACUGUCGAAUUGAGAAGUAGGCAGCUGUACAUGAGCUCCACUAUUUGAGCUUCUCAUAUAGGAAAACUAAUUUAUCCAUGCCAGUUCUAUUACACUUGUACUGAUAAAGGAUCUAGCACAGUUUUCACAGAAUAUUUUGGCACAGGCACCAUUAAAACCUUUCAACUGAAAGGGCACUGUAGACUCCACUACGGUCACUGGCAGCAGGUGCUUGUUCUUACUACUUUCUGUUGUGGCUUUAUAAGUAGCAUGACAAAUCCAAAAGUCCUGGAGCUGAAAGCAAGAGAUACAAAUGAAAGGUGCUGCUCACUGUAGGUGGACGAGGUGCUAAGUGUGCACUGCUUUUCCUCUGAAAUCAAGCAAUGCAGCAAAACAGACCCAGUGAAAUCUGGCUACCAGAAAAUGAGUAAUUUCUGCAUGACUCAGUCCUAGGAUGGUUUGAAAUGGCCACACUGUACCCCAUUCCCUAAACUUAUUUCAGAUCCCAAGGACUUGAAAGUGGUAAAUGUGUCAUCAAUAUUUAAUGAAAACCCUGGGGAAAUUUUGAGAAUUACAAGAAGAUAAAUGUGCCUUAUACACUGAGCAGAUUAAUGGGAAAACAUUAGAAAAUAGAUAAAUAUGUCAUAUAUGGAAUGAAUCAACAUUGCUUUUAGAGUAAAAGCGGUUGGAGCUAUUUGAAAAUAUCAACAAACAUACAAUUAAGGAUGAGGUAAUCAUCAAAUCAUUUUAACAAUGUCUCUUCUCAAAGUGCAUUAAAGAAACGAAGCAAUUAUGAUUAUAAAAUUAGUAGAGUAAUAGGAAAUGUAGAACUCCAUAAAUGUUCGUAAGUGAUCAUGAAAAUAAUGUGAGGACUUAGGAGACACUUUCUACUGAUAGUAGUGAAUUACUCACAGUAGUCAAAGCUAAGUCUACCAAGACCUGUAAAAUAUUUUGUGAGAAUGUCGAUAGAUAAUGCAGUAUCUGAAUAAAUUCAAUACUGAUAAAUACAAAUCAGUGCAAAACCUACCUUAAUUACACAUUCACAAUAAUGGUUUCUAAAUGAGCUAUUGCUACCCAGGAAAAAGAUCUUGCAAUCCUUGUGAGUAUUUCUCUGAACAUUUCACCUUAGUUCAGGGCAGUGAUCAAAAAGCUAAACUGAAUGCUAUGAAUUAUUAGGAAAGAAAUAGGGAAUACAAAAGAAAACAUCAUCAUGACAGACUAUAUGUGACUCUGGAAUGAUAACGGUGUCUUCAGUUCUAGUCACAUCAGUCCAGAAGUUCUGUUGUAGAGCACAAGAGGUGUAAAAAUGGUGAGCAAGGAUAAAAAUACAGAAAUAAAAACCAGUUCCCAUAUGAGAAGAAAACACACUCUCAAAUAGACAACAAAGAGCAAGUGGGUUAUUUGUGUUAGUAAGGAGCUCUAAAUUCAGCUAAGGUGCAAGGGAUGAGGAUAAUUCCCUGUGCCAGUGGUGGAUACUGCUGAAGCAUGAAAAUCCCCUCGGGCUUUAGAAGAGCAAUCUGCACAUAUUAUCACCUUCAGUAGGCUCUCGUGAACUUACCAAACCUAUGAUUAUAUUUUUAUUGCUAAUCUGAUCACAGCUUGAUAGCAAUGUUUUUCCUGUAUAUGAUCAAAUGAAUGGUACAGCAAUUUUCCAAAGCCCAAGGAAUAAGGGUAACAAAGCUCACAUCUUUUACAAACUGGCCAAAUGAAACAUUUAUAAAAUCUCAUAUUUUAAAAGACAGAUAUAGCUUUAUAGUAGGGGCUUUCCUAAAGUGGAUGUGGUUUUGGUAUCAACCCACAGUGGAUUUCCUGUCAUCCAUUCAUCCCCCAAGCCACAUAAAGAUUUUCCACUAACAAGAUCCUUCUGCAGUAGGUUCCACAGGUCAAUUAUCUACUGUAUGUUAAACCCUUCUUCUGUUUGUGUCCUGCCAGCAUCCUCUGAUGUCCCUUACUGCAACACAAUAUUUUGAAAGGAUCCAGGCUACCGAAGCACCAAGUAAUAAUACAGACCGAACCUGCUGGCAGGUCUUCAAGAAGGACCAUAAUUUAAUAGAAGAUAAAUCAGAAAGGACCAUAACAGAAAAGCAGCAUGAAUGAUACAUUCUCUCCAGUUAGCAGCUCUGGUGCACUGAGAAGAACCAGACUCUCUCCUAGCUCUGGCAAUGCUACUUCACCCCCAAACCCCAAACUGGAGAAACAAAAGUGUAAUUUCAAUUGUAAUUAUUAUUCAGGCAAUGUUUCAUCCUGAUCUAAUAGCACACUAAAAAGAUUUUCUUUCAAAAUAAGUCUUUAUUUUCUGCAAUCACAAUCUAUCAUGCAUUAUCUAUUUGGUCCAAUGUAUUGCAUUUGACUCUCUGGUCUAGUUGAAAUACAUUUGCCCUGAGAGGGUGUAAAUUACCCAGAUUGCCUGCCUGGGAGAAGGUGACCUUGCUCAAGGCACCACAUCUAUGCCAGGCACAACCACAUGGCUGUUCCUCAGUUGAAGGCCAUGGUGCCUCAGCUGGAGGCAAAUCUUCCCAGGGGGUGAGGAUUUGCAGUGUCCUGUCUGAAAAACAGAGCUGCCCACCAACCUGUUUCUGGGAACAUCUCCCUGACCUUGGCAUCCAAACAUUUCUGAUUUGGCACAGCAAUAAAAGGGCAGCUGUCAGUCUGAGUAUCAAAGAGCUCUGGGCAAGGCUUGCUAAGGAUGCUAAGAACCAUGGUGUGGUAUGAGCCUGGCCAUUUCCUGUGCACACUGUGGGUACAGAUUUGUGGCCUAGCAGGGCACAAGAGCAACCCAAGCCACUCUGCAUUUUGCAGCCCAGCUCUGCUUCUGUGAGAGCUGGGACUAUACCAAAUAGCACUCAAAUUAUUAUUGUGAAAUAGGACUGAGUUUGUCUUUUGCUUGUUAAUUCACUUACGAUUUCCACUGUGUUUUAUUAUCAUUUAUGUCUCUUCUCUGCUCUUUGGAAAUAAUUUUCAUUUUUGCUAAUCAGGCUGGUAAUCAAAGCCUCCAGUUCCAGAUGCAAGUCUCCACUCACAAAGUCCCUGAAGGGCUGAUGGCUGGAAACUAGGAGGAUGUGCCGGGGAAAGAAACACUCAGCUGCCCCUGCUGCAGCAGCCACUGCUCCUAUAAGCGGGAACACAGCUUUUUGUGCUCUCUCAGUUCUUACAUUCACAUGAGUAAAGCGGAGGGGGGAAAUUUUUGGUUUAAAAUAAUAUGGAAAUGCAUGUGAAUUACCGCUUGAUAUGUGUAAUACCUCUUAAGACAGGAGACAGAUUUCCUAUUCUCAUUUGGCUCUGAAACCAUGGGAUAUUCUGAGUUGGAAGGGGCCCACAAGGGAAACAGUCAAAACCAGACAAAAAAUAUUGAGUUUCUCUAAUGUUUUGUUUGUCAUAAAAACUUCGCUGAUUAUUCUUGAAUAAUUUUUUGCAUGAUUUUUGAUCCCAUAAAAAGCAACAAUGUGACUUCUGGAAUGAAUUUUUAAGUAUGCUCGCAGGUUUAUUUUGCCAUUAUUUAACUCUGUUUAUCCCAGAGGCUCAGAACAAGGGUUUUAAAGCUAUUAAGUAUUGGCCUUAGUAUACUUUUAUUUCUGUUAAUGCACAUGUGACGCCCUGGUUAUACUUUUCCCAUAGACUGUUGGGGGAAUUUACCUCAGUUGGGUAGCAAGGGCAUUUUCAGCUUUUAAACACACUUUUAAUCAGUAGUCUGAUUAAAAACAGGGCUACUUUAGACAUCAUGCCAGCAGCCCACUCUAUAAACAACUGCCUAAGAAGUAUUUACUGGUACAGUUUUGGGAUUCUCCUUCUUUCUCUGUCCUCUCAAUAGAGAAAUCUGGGUGAUGAAAGACCCUCAUGAUGAUUACUUUGAAUCUGAAAUCAGAUUCUCUAAAUCUGGGGUCUCCUAUCCCAGGUUUGCUUAGCUUCUGGGUAUGCUGCCACUCUGAGCCUCUUUUUCUCUUCAGUAAAGCUCCUCAUGGUGUUCACAUGAAUGAGCACAACUCUUCUCGUCACGUAACUUACGUGACAUGGACUUCUGCAGCUGCAGAAGAAAGCGCAUGCAAGUGCUUUGUGCAUAACCUGGGGUGUCUGCUCAUACAAUUAAUAAAACUUUGGGUUAGCAGCUAAAUCCACCAGCAAGCUUUUCUCUCUCUCAUUUCUUCUGAAAGCUUCUUAAUUUAUUUGUGUGAUUUUCAGGCUAAGUGUUGGUAGGAUUAUGAAGUUGCUUUACUGUUGGGAGAGUUUAACACAGAUGCUGCAACAUGUUCACACCAGACUGUGCUAGGUCUCUGUUGGGCUUGUUUUUAUUUUUUAACUGGCCUUGCACAAACCUCCAAAUCUAAAUAACAUGGUUAGUGAAGGAUGAAUUACACAAAACAGCUGAACUGAGCAUUCCCAUGUGGCAUAGCCCCCACCAAAGGAGCACUGCAGGAUGACUCCCAAGUAAACCACAGGAAGGAGAAGACUAUGUGCAAUAUGGAGAUUUUAUCUGUGUGUUCAGUGUCCAUUGCCAUAGGAUUCCAUUUGAUUUUGUCCAUUGGCUUCCUGCACCUUUGUAUCUAAUCCUCUGGGGCAAGUUUCUCUUUGGAUUUCUCCAGAGCGAGGAAAGGAGACAUGGUGAGGAAAAUGUCCAAUAUUUCAGCAGAGGCAAGUGCUCUGAGAUUAUGUUCAAGAAUAAUGAUUAACAAAUGUUAGCUAACACUUCUCUGAAACCUCCUUAAUCUAAUUCUUGCAAGGACCAGUUUGAGUCUGGAAUACAAAUAGUAACAUUAAUCCACCCAUGCAUAAGCUAAUGUAGUAUUUGGAUGGAAAUGUCUGCUCCUGUGGAGAACAGCCCACGUGACAGAUGUGGAUGUGGCGAGGCUGCUGGGCAUGUUGUGGCUGCCCCAGCCUGGGAACAAGGUCUUGUGUUGACAGCUGCCCUGUGCAGCUCUGAUGGAGGCUGGCUGAAGGAUGUGAGAUGGGGUGGCAGCAGGUCAGCAGUGAGGGAAUCUCUGGCUCACACAGCUGGUGGACCAGCACUGGUGGAGGGGGUGGCAGAUGGCAGCUCAGCACCAUGGAGACUUCAGUGCAGGGGACUGUGGACACCAAACCCUCUCCUCCUGUUCCACGCCCGCCUGGCCAGCAGAGAGACUUUGGGGUGGGGAGCGUGUCGAAGCUUAGCUUAGGAGUUUGUAAAACCCCAUUUUUUAAUGUGUUACGGAAUAAACAAUAAUUUUAUGCUUUUGAGUUUUGCAUGUCCAAUUUGUGGAGUCUCUUUAUGACUGGUUAAAGAUGCCCAA